rnacentral:rRNA from 1 species
GACGAACGCUGGCGGCGUGCUUAACACAUGCAAGUCGAACGGUAAGGCCCUUCGGGGCACACGAGUGGCGAACGGGUGAGUAACACGUGGGUGAUCUGCCCUGCACUUCGGGAUAAGCCUGGGAAACUGGGUCUAAUACCGGAUAGGACUCCGGACUGCAUGGUCUGGGGUGGAAAGCUUUUGCGGUGUGGGAUGGGCCCGCGGCCUAUCAGCUUGUUGGUGGGGUGAUGGCCUACCAAGGCGACGACGGGUAGCCGGCCUGAGAGGGUGACCGGGCACACUGGGACUGAGAUACGGCCCAGACUCCUACGGGAGGCAGCAGUGGGGAAUAUUGCACACUGGGCGCAAGCCUGAUGCAGCGACGCCGCGUGAGGGAUGACGGCCUUCGGGUUGUAAACCUCUUUCAGCAUCGACGAAGCGAAAGUGACGGUAGGUGCAGAAGAAGGACCGGCCAACUACGUGCCAGCAGCCGCGGUAA